rnacentral:rRNA from 1 species
GACGAACCGUGCGAACGUUGUUCGGAAUCACUGGGCUUAAAGGGCGCGUAGGCGGCGGGCCAAGUCCGGGGUGAAAGCCCCCAGCUUAACUGGGGAAGGGCCUCGGAGACUGGUCCGCUCGAGGGAGGUAGGGGUCGCGGGAACUUCCGGUGGAGCGGUGAAAUGCGUUGAUAUCGGAAGGAACGCCGGUGGCGAAAGCGCGCGACUGGACCUCUUCUGACGCUGAGGCGCGAAGGCCAGGGGAGCGAACGGG